GUACAGCAACUGACCCCAUCUGAAGAGGAGGGAGGAAAGGAAAUUUUUUUGCUGUUGGGGAAGCAAAAGGCCUGAGCUGUAAAGCCAGUGGUGAUUUGUCAGACACCCAUGAUGAAGCAGAAAAGUUCCAAGAAAACCCAAGGAUCCAAAAUCUCAAAUGACUGCUCCACAUCAGAAAAAAAAGGAGAAAAAGCAGUCUUCAAAUGUGAUUUGUGCACAUUCACCUCACUCAGCAUAUCAAGUAUUAACCAUCGCAUGAAAAUUCGUUCUGAAGAAAAAUAUCAUGUGUGUCACCUCUGCCUUAAGGCUUUUCAUUCAGCUACUCUCCUGCAUAACCAUGUGAAUGCACAUACAGGAGGUACCUCACAAAAACCUACAUCCAGGUUGUAUGGAGGAGUUUCUUCUCAAAGCCACAAAAAUAGCCCAGAUCUCCAUGAAGCCAUUUCAUCUCUCAAAUUGCUUCGUUCUCAACUCUACUUAAAAACUCCAUCUAGCUAUACAAGGCACUAAAAUAUAUUGACUAAUUAAGUAUAUAUAUAUAUGUUUUUGCAUAUGGAAAAUCAGUUUUUACAUCUUAGUCUGAAAUUGUUCAGUGUUUAGUUGCUGAGCACUUUGUCCUUAUAAUUUAAAGAAAUACAUGUAAUUGCAUUAAUUAGUAAAGUGUAAAUUAACUUUAAGUUUGAGCUAAUCAGCUGAGCAGAUGAUGGUUUUACUGUGCUUAAAACAUUAAAAACUCUUAAAAUUCUAAAUUUGAUUUUAACAAUACCUAAUAUUAUUUUUAGGUUCUGUAACAGUUACAGAACAUUGCAGGUGAUACAAUAAACUGUAAUGUCUCUUAGCUAAUUGAGGUCUU
rnacentral:lncRNA from 1 species